rnacentral:rRNA from 1 species
UACGUAGGGUCCGAGCGUUGUCCGGAAUUACUGGGCGUAAAGAGCUCGUAGGUGGUUUGUCGCGUUGUCCGUGAAAACUCACAGCUCAACUGUGGGCGUGCGGGCGAUACGGGCAGACUGGAGUACUGCAGGGGAGACUGGAAUUCCUGGUGUAGCGGUGGAAGUGCGCAGAUAUCAGGAGGAACACCGGUGGCGAAGGCGGGUCUCUGGGCCGAUACUGACGCUGGAGGAGCGAAAGCCGUGGGGAGCGAACAGG